GGUGGUGACUUGGCGGAGUGGAACCACCUGUUCCCAUCCCGAACACAGAAGUGAAACGCUCCUGCGCCGAUGGUACUUCUUAAUGGGGGAGAGUAGGUCGUUGCCAUCA
rnacentral:rRNA from 1 species